rnacentral:rRNA from 1 species
AGCUCUAAUAGCGUAUAUUAAAGUUGUUGCGGUUAAAAAGCUCGUAGUUGGAUCUUGGAAUGUGUGUUUAUUUGAUCUGCCUUUCUCUAAAAGAGGGUAUGAAUCAAAUUGCCCAUUCUUUCUUGUUAGAUACUCGCCUAUAUUAUUAACUUAGUAUAGGUUAAAACAAGAAUAUUUCUACGGAUUUAUUCUUGGAGUUCUAGCUCUUUUACUUUGAGUAAAUUAGAGUGUUCAAAGCAGGCAAAAUUUUUCAGCCGCUGAAUACUGUAGCAUGGGAUAAUGGAAUAGGACUUUGGUUCUAUUUUGUUGGUUUCUAGGAUCGAAGUAAUGAUUAAUAGGGAUAGUUGGGGGCAUUAGUAUUUAAUUGUCAGAGGUGAAAUUCUUGGAUUUGUUAAAGACU